rnacentral:sRNA from 1 species
GCCCAACAGUAGAAAUGGCAAUAACAGCAAACAUAAAGACCCAGUUGCCUCUACAGCGGCUGGACAACUCGAACGAUGACUACAAGAUGUCCAUACCGCCACGUUUCAUAUGCAUCAUGGCGUCUAAAAGCCUUCCAUCUCCUGGCCGUUGAAGCCACUGCCAGCCUGCCUGCGCAACGGAGCUUCAUGACAAGCUCUGGCUGCCAGUUCCCGAAACCAAAUCCUAACCAGAAAAAACGACGUGGGAAUACAAGACGACAAAGAAUUCAGGAGCUCUCAAAACUCGAGACCCUGCGAACCGAACUUUCCGUACUCGCUGAAGAAUUGAAAAGUAAACCACAAGCUACGCAAUCGCCUGGCGCGUCUAUCCCGAGUGAAAGAGAAAACAGCAUAUCAAACCUGUCCAGACAGCCGGAAGACAUACCAGAAACCCAUACGCGAUUUUCAAAUUUCCUCCCCAAAUCCCCCAUUGUUACAAGACUAGAACAAAGGGCGCAAAAGCUAAAACAACGCGCCAACGAACAAGAUAUUGAUCGCCUAAAGUACAACCCAUGGGCACAGCUGUUAGCAAGCCCCGUGCGCAUGUGCGCUGCGACUGGAGCCCGGGUACCAGAAAAACUGCUGGGGAGCUGGGGCCUGGUUCAGCACCCAGAGACACAGAAUCUAUGGCUCAUGCCUGUUGACUUGGUUAAAGAGGAACUUCAGCGAGUGAGCCUGAAGAGUGUGCCAGCGGCAUCAGAGUCAUUCGAUGAUGUUUCCGAGGUGGACCCUGGACUACCAUCUCCACCUCCACGAUCCAGCUUUCCUAGCUUCUACAUGACGAAUGACGAAGAGCUAUUGGGUGCGAUCUCUAAAAUGAAAGGGUCCCAGCCCGGUCGCCUUAUCUCUAACAAUUGGAAAGUUCCCAAGGGACCCUUGCCGCGGAAAAUGCCUUAUGUUUUUCGAAAGGACAUGCCAGAAUUUUUUUUAGCACGGUUGAGGGAGAGGGUCUUGGCAUGGCUGAAGAAGGCGAAGAGGUUACGGCCCUUGGGGGAAAUCUCUGGGGGUUGGACGGUUUUAGACACGA